GGGAAACAGGCGACGGGUAUGUCUCUGGAUUAAUCUUGAUAUGAUUUUAUUUUUGUUUUUACGUUGACAACUGGAAAGGAUUUCUAUCAGGUUGAACUUCGGAUUUGGCUCUGUUUAUAUGGAUUUCAAGGGAGCACUCUUCUUCCUCAGCUUCUUGGUAGCCACAAUCAGUGCCGCAAGCUACUAUGUUCCUUCUUCCUACAUUAGUGGAUAUACUUACCCUGCAGCUGCAGUUGUAGCCCCAGUGGCAUAUGCACCACUGAGUUAUAAGUACCGUGUCCCAAGUACUACUUUCGUCAAGUACCACAAUCCCGUGUCUUAUGAUUUAGUCGUCCCCAGCUACGGUUUGGAGUAUGAUUAUUUGAGGAGAUGAUUGAAUUGUCUAACGCAUGUAAGGUACCGAAACAGUUCAGAAACAGGAUGGCGGGGAGAAAUGAAUGUUAAUUUAUGAAUACAUAUUAUGUUAAACAUUGCUGUUCAAGUUUGUAAAAGACUGUUAUAGUUCUG